rnacentral:rRNA from 1 species
AUGAACGCUAGCGACAGGCCUAACACAUGCAAGUCAGGGGCAGCACGAGGAGCAAUCUGAGGUGGCGACCGGCGCACGGGUGAGUAACACGUAUGCAACCUGCCUGUAAGCGGGGAAUAACCCGUUGAAAGACGGACUAAUACCGCAUAAUACUAAAUUACUGCAUGGUAAUUUAUUUAAACAUUUAUGGCUUACAGAUGGGCAUGCGCAUGAUUAGCUAGUUGGAGAGGUAACGGCUCCCCAAGGCAACGAUCAUUAGGGGUUCUGAGAGGAAGGUCCCCCACACUGGUACUGAGACACGGACCAGACUCCUACGGGAGGCAGCAGUGAGGAAUAUUGGUCAAUGGACGAGAGUCUGAACCAGCCAAGUCGCGUGCAGGAAGAAUGUCCUAUGGAUUGUAAACUGCUUUUGCAGGGGAAUAAAGUGCAUCACGUGUGAUGUUUUGUAUGUACUCUGCGAAUAAGGAUCGGCUAACUCCGUGCCAGCAGCAGC